AUUGAACGCUGGCGGCAGGCUUAACACAUGCAAGUCGAGCGGGGUGAUGGUGCUUGCACUAUCACUUAGCGGCGGACGGGUGAGUAAUGCUUAGGAAUCUGCCUAUUAGUGGGGGACAACAUCUCGAAAGGGAUGCUAAUACCGCACACGUCCUACGGGAGAGAGCAGGGGAUCACUUGUGACCUUGCGCUAAUAGAUGAGCCUAAGUCGGAUUAGCUAGUUGGUGGGGUAAAGGCCUACCAAGGCGACGAUCUGUAGCGGGUCUGAGAGGAUGAUCCGCCACACUGGGACUGAGACACGGCCCAGACUCCUACGGGAGGCAGCAGUGGGGAAUAUUGGACAAUGGGGGGAACCCUGAUCCAGCCAUGCCGCGUGUGUGAAGAAGGCCUUAUGGUUGUAAAGUACUUUAAGCGAGGAGGAGGCUCUUUUGGUUAAUACCCAAGAUGAGUGGACGUUACUCGCAGAAUAAGCACCGGCUAACUCUGUGCAGCAGCCGCCGUAA
rnacentral:rRNA from 1 species